AUGACACAUUUCGGUGCGUAAACUCCUUUUAUAUAAGAAAGAUAAUGACGGUACUAUAUGAAUAAGCGCCGGCUAACUCCGUGCCAGCAGCCGCGGUAAUACGGAGGGCGCAAGCGUUACUCGGAAUCACUGGGCGUAAAGAGCGUGUAGGCGGAUAGAUAAGUCAGAAGUGAAAUCCUAUGGCUCAACCAUAGAACUGCUUUUGAAACUGUUUAUCUAGAGUGUGGGAGAGGUAGGUGGAAUUUCUGGUGUAGGGGUAAAAUCCGUAGAGGACAGAAGGAAUACCGAUUGCGAAGGCGAUCUACUGGAACAUAACUGACGCUGAGACGCGAAAGCGUGGGGAGCAAACAGGAUUAGAUACCCUGGUAGUCCACGCCCUAAACGAUGUCCACUAGUUGUUGUGAGGCUAGACCUUGCAGUAAUGCAGUAAACACAUUAA
rnacentral:rRNA from 1 species